rnacentral:rRNA from 1 species
GCUUACACAUGCAAGUCGAACGAUGAACCCGGAGCUUGCUCCGGUGGAUUAGUGGCGAACGGGUGAGUAACACGUGAGUAACCUGCCCUUGACUCUGGGAUAACUGCUAGAAAUGGUAGCUAAUACCGGAUACGACCCUCGGAGGCAUCUCCAGGGGGUGGAAAGAAUUUCGGUCAAGGAUGGACUCGCGGCCCAUCAGCUGGUUGGUGAGGUAAAGGCUCACCAAGGCGACGACGGGUAGCCGGCCUGAGAGGGUGACCGGCCACACUGGGACUGAGACACGGCCCAGACUCCUACGGGAGGCAGCAGUGGGGAAUAUUGCACAAUGGGCGCAAGCCUGAUGCAGCAACGCCGCGUGAGGGACGACGGCCUUCGGGUUGUAAACCUCUUUUAGUAGGGAAGAAGCGAAAGUGACGGUACCUGCAGAAAAAGCACCGGCUAACUACGUGCCAGCAGCCGCGGUAAUACGUAGGGUGCAAGCGUUGUCCGGAAUUAUUGGGCGUAAAGAGCUCGUAGGCGGUUUGUCGCGUCUGCUGUGAAAUCCCGAGGCUCAACCUCGGGCCUGCAGUGGGUACGGGCAAACUAGAGUGUGGUAGGGGAGAUUGGAACUCCUGGUGUAGCGGUGGAAUGCGCAGAUAUCAGGAAGAACACCGAUGGCGAAGGCAGAUCUCUGGGCCAUUACUGACGCUGAGGAGCGAAAGCGUGGGGAGCGAACAGGAUUAGAUACCCUGGUAGUCCACGCCGUAAACGUUGGGAACUAGAUGUAGGGUCCAUUCCACGGAUUCUGUGUCGCAGCUAACGCGUUAAGUUCCCCGCCUGGGGAGUACGGCCGCAAGGCUAAAACUCAAAGGAAUUGACGGGGGCCCGCACAAGCGGCGGAGCAUGCGGAUUAAUUCGAUGCAACGCGAAGAACCUUACCAAGGCUUGACAUAUACCGGAAAAGCGUAGAAAUACGCUCCCCGCAAGGUCGGUAUACAGGUGGUGCAUGGUUGUCGUCAGCUCGUGUCGUGAGAUGUUGGGUUAAGUCCCGCAACGAGCGCAACCCUCGUCCUAUGUUGCCAGCACGUAAUGGUGGGAACUCAUGGGAGACUGCCGGGGUCAACUCGGAGGAAGGUGGGGAUGACGUCAAAUCAUCAUGCCCCUUAUGUCUUGGGCUUCACGCAUGCCACAAUGGCCGAUACAGAGGGCUGCAAUACCGCAAGGUGGAGCGAAUCCCAAAAAGUCGGUCUCAGUUCGGAUUGAGGUCUGCAACUCGACCUCAUGAAGUCGGAGUCGCUAGUAAUCGCAGAUCAGCAACGC